AUGAGCGGGGUCAGAGGAUCUGAGUCGUGAAGAUCGGCGGAUAUAUGA
rnacentral:snoRNA from 1 species